UGGUGAGUAACACGUGGAUAACCUACCUAUAAGACUGGGAUAACUUCGGGAAACCGGAGCUAAUACCGGAUAAUAUAUUGAACCGCAUGGUUCAAUAGUGAAAGACGGUUUUGCUGUCACUUAUAGAUGGAUCCGCGCCGCAUUAGCUAGUUGGUAAGGUAACGGCUUACCAAGGCAACGAUGCGUAGCCGACCUGAGAGGGUGAUCGGCCACACUGGAACUGAGACACGGUCCAG
rnacentral:rRNA from 1 species